GGCCAGACUCCUACGGGAGGCAGCAGUGAGGAAUAUUGGUCAAUGGGCGAUAGCCUGAACCAGCCAAGUCGCGUGAGGGAAGACGGCCCUAUGGGUUGUAAACCUCUUUUGUCGGGGAGCAAGGUCGCUACGUGUAGUGAUUUGAGAGUACCCGAAGAAAAAGCAUCGGCUAACUCCGUGCCAGCAGCCGCGGUAAUACGGAGGGUGCGAGCGUUAAUCGGAAUUACUGGGCGUAAAGCGCUCGUAGGCGGUAUGUCAAGUCAAGGGUGAAAUCCCCGCGCUCAACGUGGGAACUGCCUUUGAAACUGGCAAACUGGAGUGUGUGAGAGGAUAGUGGAAUUCCAGGUGUAGGAGUGAAAUCCGUAGAUAUCUGGAGGAACAUCAGUGGCGAAGGCGACUAUCUGGCACAUAACUGACGCUGAGGAGCGAAAGCGUGGGUAGCAAACAGGAUUAGAUACCCCUGUACUU
rnacentral:rRNA from 1 species